AACGAACGCUGGCGGCAGGCUUAACACAUGCAAGUCGAGCGCCCUGCAAGGGGAGCGGCAGACGGGUGAGUAACGCGUGGGAACGUACCUUUUGGUUCGGAACAACUCCGGGAAACUGGAGCUAAUACCGGAUAAGCCCUAACGGGGAAAGAUUUAUCGCCGAAAGAUCGGCCCGCGUCUGAUUAGCUAGUUGGUGAGGUAACGGCUCACCAAGGCGACGAUCAGUAGCUGGUCUGAGAGGAUGAUCAGCCACACUGGGACUGAGACACGGCCCAGACUCCUACGGGAGGCAGCAGUGGGGAAUAUUGGACAAUGGGCGCAAGCCUGAUCCAGCCAUGCCGCGUGAGUGAUGAAGGCCUUAGGGUUGUAAAGCUCUUUUGUCCGGGAAGAUAAUGACUGUACCGGAAGAAUAAGCCCCGGCUAACUUCGUG
rnacentral:rRNA from 1 species